AGUGAACGCUGGCGGUAGGCCUAACACAUGCAAGUCGAACGGCAGCACAGUAAGAGCUUGCUCUUACGGGUGGCGAGUGGCGGACGGGUGAGGAAUACAUCGGAAUCUACUUUUUCGUGGGGGAUAACGUAGGGAAACUUACGCUAAUACCGCAUACGACCUACGGGUGAAAGCAGGGGAUCUUCGGACCUUGCGCGAUUGAAUGAGCCGAUGUCGGAUUAGCUAGUUGGCGGGGUAAAGGCCCACCAAGGCGACGAUCCGUAGCUGGUCUGAGAGGAUGAUCGGCCACACGGGAACUGGGCCACGGACCAUACUCCUACGGGAGGCAGCAGUGGGGAAUAUUGGACAAUAGGCGCAAGCCUGGUCCAACCAUACCGCGUGGGUGAAGGAGGCCUUCGGGUUGUAAAGCCCUUUUGUUGGGAAAGAAAAGCAGCAGGUUAAUACCCCGCUGUUCUGACGGUACCCAAAGAAUAAGCACCGGCUAACUUCGUG
rnacentral:rRNA from 1 species